rnacentral:lncRNA from 10 species
CAAAUCUAGACAUACAAUAUAAAGCCCUAAUUAUAAACUAUACCAAUUGUUCACUGAAAGUAUGUGCACUGGUGAUUAAUAUAGACUCUACCUAUACAUUGAGAGCACUGAACAAUGUCUUCACUGGUACUCCCCAAACUUAGGACAUAUGAUACAUAUUGAAAAUAACAAUGUAUAAGAUAUCGCGGUGGAGUAAAGGGAUUAGACUACUUAGGCCACCAUAAGCUCCUCCUGGCUGUCCCAGGGAUGAGACAUACUUUUAAGUUUGAGGGGAAAAAAUUAGGCUAAGGCCUUGUGUUUAUGUAAAGAACACAGUGUAAGAAAUCUUUUCUAGCUCUCUCUGUGUGUGUGUGUGUGUGUGUGUCUGCACAUGCAUGCAUGCUUCAUAAGAAAGAGUACUUAAUUAUAAUUUUUUUUUUUUUUUUUUGCUCUGUCACCCAGGCUGGAGUGCAGUGGUAUGAUCUCGGCUCACUGCAACUUUAACCUCUCAGGUUCAAGUGAUAAUUACAAUCUUUAUUCAGAUAAAGUCUUACUCUCUAUGAUCAACAAACUGCAGAUAAGAUUGGAAGUCUUGAAACAAAUCUUUUUCUACAUAAUAUAGGUGGCUGGAAAUUUGGAUUAAGUUGCAGCACUCUUUCAUGGAGAACCUGUACGAUAAUCCUGCAAGAUUUGGAGAAUUAAAAGAAAUAAUACACUUACAGCCUGGAUAAUACAGUCCCUCCUUAUCUGCUGGGGAUAUGUCCCAAGAGUUCCAGUGGAUGCCUGAAACUGUGGAUAGUACCAAACCCAAGCACUGUGGUACCGUAGCAGUUGUUCUGAUCACCGAGGCAGUUAAACAGUGACUGACGGGCAUAUAGCAUAAACAAUGUGGAGAUGCUGAACAAAGAGAUGACUCACGUCCCAGCUGGGACAGAAUGGGUCCAUGCAAGAUUUCAUCACACUACUCAGAACGGACGAUUUAAAACGUAUGAAUUAUUUUUUCCUGGAAUUUUCAGUUGAAUAUUUUUGAACCAUGGAUAAAUGAAACCAUGAAAAGCAAAACCACCAAGAAGGGGAAACUACUGUAUUAAGAGUGAACCUAAGGGUGACCAUUGGUCACCACUGAGUUAUCCUUCCCUUCCUUAUCUGGCUGCUCACCUGAAGUAAAUUGAAGUAAACACAAAAUCAAAUAGAAAAAAUUGAAAUAUCAGUUUCUCAUUUUCCCCACGAAUGUGUUCAAAUAACUCAAGUUUUCAUUUGGUAAAACAUGGAGCCUCAAUUUCCUCGCCUAUUAACGGUAGUAAUAACUAACUUAUAGAGUUGUUACGACCAUUAAAUAAAAUUUGUGUCAAGUACCUAAUGAGAUUUAAGGAAUUUGCCCAAGGUAAAAAAAAAAAAAAAAAAAGGUGACAAAUUGCAGAGCCAGUAUUUAAAACUGGCAGUCUAAUCUCAGAGUAUCUGUUAAUACUUUGAUACUAUACUCUAUUGCCUCUUGAUGAAUUCCUUAACGUUUUCUUCUCUAACAUGUGUACAGCAGUCCCUACUUAUCUGCUGGGGGUAUGUCCCAAGAGCCUCAGUGGAUGCCUGAAACUGUCUGGCAUAUAGGAGGUGCCUGGAAUAUAGAAUAAGCAGCUAUUCCCAUGAUUGUUGUUAUGUCCUGGAGAGAGCUAUAUGUGUCCUUAGAGUAAGGAAAAGUGGCGAGUUGAACUUAGAAUAAAAAAAUAACGAUUUGAAGGAAGCCAUGGGUGGUUUAAAGAGAAGACUUCAAUAAUGCUUAUGGCAACACCAUGCAGAUUUUUAUUCACUUCUAGGGUUAUUCAAAUUCUCUCUUUCCUGCUAUUCUCCUUGUUAAAAUCUGCGUCCUUUUGAAGCAUAUGGGUAGGUAUCAUAUUGUGUGUGAAAAUUAAAGAGGCACUAGUCUAAAAAUACGUAACCUGGAUUCUAUUUCUGGUCUAGCUAUAGGCUCCUGUGAGUUUAUUAAUAAGUGUAUACCUCAAUUUCUUAUAUAUAGGUAUAAAACUAACUCCUUAUAGAAAUUUUGAAGUGAUGAUAUAGCAUCCAUAGAUCUCUGAGUUCUCUUGAAGUAAGCAGUGUAUAUAAGAAAGGUUUAUAUUAUUAGGUCAUAUAUGUUUCAGUUAAAAAAGUGCUUUGGUGACAGAAAAGCUAUGCUUAUAAACAGGAAACCGUGUUUAUUAAUGGAAAUUUACUUUUUUGUGAAUUUUUGAGUUUUUUAAUAUGUUUAAUAUAUUGUUUAAAUGAUGUUUAACUUUUUUAAAAUUAAAAAUUAUUGAACACUGAUGAAAGAAAUUUAGAAAAUACCUACCUUACAUCACCAUGUUGACUUCACGUUGCUAAGGCAGACAUGAGUUAGAUUAACAUUAUGUAAGGACUUAAAUUAAUUGUUUCAUUUGUCUUAUUAAAUGCAUUUUAUUAAUGGUUAAUGAUCUUAAUUCUCAACUUUGGAAUUAGAUAAAUGAGCAAAGAUUUUUACAUUAUUUUACCACUAGAUUCUUUUACUUUUUAUUAUCCUAGGAUAAUAGGAUAAUUAUUAUCCUAUAUAAUAAUUGUAUUAUAUAGGAUAAAUAUUGUAGGUUCCUCUACAAAUAUGUGAUAAUCAGACAUUCUAAUCAUCUGUGGAGGUUUAAAUAUAAAAUAUAUUUAAUAUGUAUAUACAUGUUAGGGCUUCGUCCCCACAAAUUCUGUUCAGUUAGCCUGCCUUGGGAGCUAUGCAUUUAAAAUGGUCCCCAGGUGACUCUAAAAUGUGUCCCUAAUUAAGCUGUCUUUUUGCUUUCAUAGAUCUUUUAAUUCUAAAGGUAAGGUUAGCUUUUCUCUAGUAUUAGCAGGCACAGCUGGAGAAAGAACAUGCUAUUGAUUCCCCAGAAAUUCUGUUUUCCAAUCUUAUGUGAGUUUGGCUAGAGUAGAAAAAUAAGAAUGUGGGAGAUAAUUAAUAGAGUAUCUAGAUUCCUGAGGGCCCAUCACCAUGUCCACCUAUGUACAAACUAGAACUGCUUUUGUGUUCUCUUGUUCUGCUUGAUCCUUACAACAUUUGCCCACCUGCUGAGUGAAUUUUUAAUACACCAGUGCGAGCAUUUAGAGUUCUUGUUAGAAAAUGGUUUGACAGCAGUACAUGAUAUCUCAGUUCAAUGUAGCAAAAAUAUUUGUGUUUUAUGAAGUAUUUUCUUGAACUUUGAUAUUUUUAGGUUUGCUUUUAUUAUAUUACUCCUUAAAUAUAAUAACUCAUUGUAAUAUCUUAAGUGUUAUUAUAAUGUAACAAAAAUGAUAUGUUCUUGAGAGGGGAUGGGGUUGCCUAACAUACGGCCAGGAGUGGGCAAAGCACUCUGUAAUCUGUAAAUAAUAAAAAAAAAAGUGGAAUCAAAUUAAAAAUCACCUUCAUGAAU